GCCUUCGUGAUGGAACUGGUAGACAUCCUGGUUUUAGAAACCAGUGCUUUAUAGCGUACCGGUUCGAAUCCGGUCGAAGGCA
rnacentral:tRNA from 1 species